rnacentral:rRNA from 1 species
GACGAACGCUGGCGGCGUGCUUAACACAUGCAAGUCGAACGAUGAAGAAGAGAAACGCGAACUUCGGUUCAAAUUUCACUUCGGAUUAGUGGCAGACGGGUGAGUAACGCGUGAGCAACCUACCUCUUACAAAGGGAUAGCCUCGGGAAACCGUGAUUAAUACCAUAUGACACAUUCAUAAGGCAUCUUAAGAAUGUUAAAGCUACGGCGGUAAGAGAUGGGCUCGCGUCCCAUUAGCUAGUUGGUGAGGUAACGGCCCACCAAGGCGACGAUGGGUAACCGGCCUGAGAGGGUGAACGGUCACAUUGGAACUGAGACACGGUCCAAACUCCUACGGGAGGCAGCAGUGGGGAAUAUUGCACAAUGGAGGGAACUCUGAUGCAGCGACGCCGCGUGAGCGAUGAAGGAAUUCGUUUCGUAAAGCUCUGUUCUAUGGGAAGAAAAGGACUGUACCAUAGGAGAAAGCUCCGGCUAAAUACGUG